rnacentral:rRNA from 1 species
UCGAGGGGUAACAGGGAAGCUUGCUUCCGCUGACGACCGGCGCACGGGUGCGUAACGCGUAUGCAACCUACCUCUUACAGGGGAAUAGCCCGAAGAAAUUCGGAUUAAUACCCCAUGGUAUUACAGAUUCGCAUGAUGAAGUAAUUAAAGACUUAUCGGUAAGAGAUGGGCAUGCGUCUGAUUAGAUUGUUGGUGAGGUGACGGCUCACCAAGUCGACGAUCAGUAGGGGUUCUGAGAGGAAGAUCCCCCACACUGGCACUGAGAUACGGGCCAGACUCCUACGGGAGGCAGCAGUAGGGAAUAUUGGUCAAUGGAGGCAACUCUGAACCAGCCAUGCCGCGUGUAGGAAGAACGCCUUCUGGGUUGUAAACUACUUUUACAUAGGAAGAAAACGCCAUGCGUGGUAAUAUGACGGUACUAUAUGAAUAAGCACCGGCUAACUCCGUGCCAGCAGCCGCGGUAAUACGGAGGGCGCAAGCGUUGUCCGGAUUUAUUGGGUUUAAAGGGUGCGUAGGCGGUUUAUUAAGUCGGAGUUGAAAUCCCACAGCUUAACUGUGGAACUGGCUCCGAUACUGGUUAACUUGAGUAUGGUUGAGGUAGGCGGAAUUUAAGAUGUAGCGGUGAAAUGCAUAGAUAUCUUAAAGAACACCAAUUGCGUAGGCAGCUUACUGGA